AUUCAACUAUUUGAAAUGUAUACUUAAAUUUGCUUUAUACCCAUCUGUCGAUCGCAAGGGAUGAUCGUAGUCGUGAAGUAAAUGGUCAUCGCGACUCGAUUAUUACCGGGAAACCUAAAAUUCCCAAGGUUCCUGCGCAUGUCUACCUUCUGGCAGAUUUAGAAGAAAAUCACUACUAUGUGUCCCAAUUACACAUCAUCAGAUAAUACGGACGGUAUGAAAUUGGAACACGACGAGGAGCAAAUCAUUAAAUGGCUGCACAUUGAAUUCCCGAACGUUGUCAUGAGUGCAUUUCCAUGUGUACCGGCUCAUAACAGAUGUCUGC